rnacentral:rRNA from 1 species
GGCGCUUUCGGGUGUCGCUGAUGGAUGGACCCGCGGUGCAUUAGCUAGUUGGUGAGGUAACGGCUCACCAAGGCCACGAUGCAUAGCCGACCUGAGAGGGUGAUCGGCCACAUUGGGACUGAGACACGGCCCAAACUCCUACGGGAGGCAGCAGUAGGGAAUCUUCGGCAAUGGACGAAAGUCUGACCGAGCAACGCCGCGUGAGUGAAGAAGGUUUUCGGAUCGUAAAACUCUGUUGUUAGAGAAGAACAAGGAUGAGAGUAACUGUUCAUCCCUUGACGGUAUCUAACCAGAAAGCCACGGCUAACUACGUGCCAGCAGCCGCGGUAAUACGUAGGUGGCAAGCGUUGUCCGGAUUUAUUGGGCGUAAAGCGAGCGCAGGCGGUUUCUUAAGUCUGAUGUGAAAGCCCCCGGCUCAACCGGGGAGGGUCAUUGGAAACUGGGAGACUUGAGUGCAGAAGAGGAGAGUGGAAUUCCAUGUGUAGCGGUGAAAUGCGUAGAUAUAUGGAGGAACACCAGUGGCGAAGGCGGCUCUCUGGUCUGUAACUGACGCUGAGGCUCGAAAGCGUGGGGAGCAAACAGGAUUAGAUACCCUGGUAGUCCACGCCGUAAACGAUGAGUGCUAAGUGUUGGAGGGUUUCCGCCCUUCAGUGCUGCAGCUAACGCAUUAAGCACUCCGCCUGGGGAGUACGACCGCAAGGUUGAAACUCAAAGGAAUUGACGGGGGCCCGCACAAGCGGUGGAGCAUGUGGUUUAAUUCGAAGCAACGCGAAGAACCUUACCAGGUCUUGACAUCCUUUGACCACUCUAGAGAUAGAGCUUCCCCUUCGGGGGCAAAGUGACAGGUGGUGCAUGGUUG